AAUUAUUAUAACCUCGUUUUCCCUAUAUAAAAUUAAAUAUAUAUAUAUUUACUUAUUUAUCCGUUGACUAUGAAUCGCUAUGAGCUUAUAAGUUUGACAAUAACAAAACUUACCAUUUUGUUUGAAGUGCUUGUAAAUAUAUUUGUAUUUGCACUUCUUUACUAUUAUUUUAUGUUCAUGUUAUUAUUUAUUGUUAAUAUUUUUAAAAUGAGAAAAAUUUUAUAUUCUUUGUUAUUUUUGAUACAUGUUUAUAUACAUUGUUGUACACCAGUGUACAUGACAAACCCAUUGAACAAAAAAGAAAUACAUAUAGGUAAUUAUUAUAUAUGCAACUUAAGGGAUUACGCAGAAGAUACCUGUAAUUUAAAUUAUACGCCUAACAAAGUAGUAAAGUUACUUUGUCCAGUUGUUCCAGAUAGUCCUAAUACAUUUAAUUCUGAUUAUUGUUUUGAAUCUGAUGGUGUAAAAGACGGUUAUGCUAUUAAAGAUAAUAAUAAGUCCAUAUUUACCACUAUACCUGGUAUUAUAAUCACAAGUAAAAUAAUAAACAAUGUACAUAAUAUCACAAUUACGCCUCCAUUUUAUGUACUAAAUAAUAUAUCAAUUAUAUGUAUGUGCGACAGUAUUAAUACCCGUGAAGAAUCAAAGGCAUAUUUAAAAAUUAAUAUAUCAAGAACAGAACAAACACACAGCACUUUAAAUAGUCUUGUUAAAGGGUGUGACUUUGGUAGUAAUUUAGGUGAAAAUCAAUUUUUAACAAAAUCUUCCAACGAAGAUGACUUUUUUAUGUGUAAUAUUAAUGCAUACCCAGGUGAUAUAAUAGGACUAAACUGUAGUAACUUUUAUAAUAAAAAUUAUGACGAUAAAACAAGAAUUGAGCCAAAAAAUUGUUUUUCUACGGUUUAUUUUGGUAUUGAUAAACACAGUUAUAAUGCCAUUGGUAUAAACAGUUUAUUACCUGGUGCUAAAUCAUAUCCUGAUUUAUCUUCAACCCCAAAAGACAAAAACUUCCCUUAUUUUGGAACUACAUAUUUAAUGAUACCUGAUGUAAUAGAUUCAAAGUUUACCAUAUAUUGUUCAUGCCUUUAUAGGACUCAUGCAAGUGUUGCUGUAUACGA
rnacentral:lncRNA from 1 species